rnacentral:rRNA from 1 species
CCUACGGGGCGCAGCAGUGGGGAAUAUUGCACAAUGGGGGAAACCCUGAUGCAGCGACGCCGCGUGAGCGAAGAAGUAUUUCGGUAUGUAAAGCUCUAUCAGCAGGGAAGAAAAUGACGGUACCUGACUAAGAAGCUCCGGCUAAAUACGUGCCAGCAGCCGCGGUAAUACGUAGGGGGCAAGCGUUCUCCGGAUUUACUGGGUGCAAAGGGAGCGUAGACGGAAAGGCAAGUCAGAAGUGAAAGCCCAAGCCUCAACCAUGGGACUGCUUUUGAAACUGUCAAACUAGGGUACG